CUCGCCAGGGAACUACGAGCCCCAGCUUAAAACCCAAAGGACUUGGCGGUGCUUUAGACCCCCUAGAGGAGCCUGUUCUAGAAUCGAUAACCCCCGUUCAACCUCACCCUCCCUUGUUUAUCCAGCCUAUAUACCGCCGUCGUCAGCUUACCCUGUGAAGGAUAAAUAGUAAGAAAGAUUGGCAAAGCCCAAAACGUCAGGUCAAGGUGUAGCAUAUGAGAGGGGAAGCAAUGGGCUACAUUUACUGAGCCAGUAAAUACGGAUCUUGCACUGAAACAAGCAUCUGAAGGAGGAUUUAGCAGUAAGGGGAGAAUAGAGCGCCCCCCUGAAACCGGACCUAAAGCGCGCACACACCGCCCGUCACUCUCCCCAAGGCACCCCUAUAGAUAAAUAAUAUACAGCCCGCCACAAAGGGGAGGCAAGUCGUAACAUGGUAAGUGUAUCGGAAGCUGCACUUGGAAAAACC
rnacentral:rRNA from 1 species